CGCGGCCUAUCAGCUUGUUGGUAAGGUAACGGCUUACCAAGGCUAAGACGGGUAGCUGGUCUGAGAGGAUGAUCAGCCACACUGGGACUGAGACACGGCCCAGACUCCUACGGGAGGCAGCAGUGGGGAAUAUUGGACAAUGGGGGCAACCCUGAUCCAGCCACGCCGCGUGAGUGAUGAAGGUUUUCGGAUCGUAAAACUCUGUCCUAAGGGACGAAUUGUCUGGAUGCGAAUAGUGUCUAGAUUUGACGGUACCUUUGGAGGAAGCACCGGCUAACUCCGUGCCAGCAGCCGCGGUAAAACGGAGGGUGCAAACGUUGCUCGGAAUUACUGGGCGUAAAGCGCAUGCAGGCGGUUUAUUAAGUUUCGUGUGAAAGCCCUGGGCCUAACCCAGGAAGUGCACGGAAAACUGGUAAACUAGAGUACUGGAGAAGUGGGCGGAAUUCCGGGUGUAGAGGUGAAAUUCGUAGAUAUCCGGAGGAACACCAGUAGCGAAAGCGGUUCACUUGACAGAUACUGACGCUCAGAUGCGAAAGCGUGGGGAGCAAACAGGAUUAGAUACCCUGGUAGUCCACGCCGUAAACGAUGAGCACUAGGUGUCGGGGGCUUGACCCCUUCGGCGCCAAAGCUAACGCAUUAAGUGCCCCGCCUGGGGAGUACGG
rnacentral:rRNA from 1 species